UACGUAGGGGGCAAGCGUUGUCCGGAAUCAUUGGGCGUAAAGAGCGUGUAGGCGGCUCGGUAAGUCCGCUGUGAAAGUCCAGGGCUCAACCCUGGAAUGCCGGUGGAAACUGUCGAGCUAGAGUCCGGAAGAGGCGAGUGGAAUUCCCGGUGUAGCGGUGAAAUGCGCAGAUAUCGGGAGGAACACCUAUGGCGAAGGCAGCUCGCUGGGACGUUACUGACGCUGAGACGCGAAAGCGUGGGGAGCAAACAGG
rnacentral:rRNA from 1 species